rnacentral:tRNA from 1 species
AAAUAUAAAGUGGAUCACAAUAAGUUGCAAACUUAUAAAUGCUUUAAGCUAUAUUAA